rnacentral:rRNA from 1 species
UACGUAGGGCGCAAGCGUUGUCCGGAAUUAUUGGGCGUAAAGAGCUCGUAGGCGGCUUGUCACGUCGAUUGUGAAAACCCGAGGCUUAACCUCGGGUCUGCAGUCGAUACGGGCUAGCUAGAGUGUGGUAGGGGAGAUCGGAAUUCCUGGUGUAGCGGUGAAAUGCGCAGAUAUCAGGAGGAACACCGGUGGCGAAGGCGGAUCUCUGGGCCAUUACUGACGCUGAGGAGCGAAAGCGUGGGGAGCGAACAGG